rnacentral:lncRNA from 1 species
GAAAUAGUGUUACUCUUCGCCGAUGUUACCGGUUUUUAUUGAAGGUAUGCGAAGGUAAAUAACUAGUUUUAUUUUCUACCAAACAAAAAAUAAUAAUAAGAAAUCAAAAAAAUCGGAGAAUUCACAAACUAUUUAUUCUUAUUAACCAAAACUAAAAUAAUUCAUAUUAAUCUUAAUUGAAAAUAUAAAAAAAAA